AACGAACGCUGGCGGCAUGCCUAACACAUGCAAGUCGAACGAACGCUUCGGGUCUAGUGGCGCACGGGGGCGUCACGCGUGGGAACCUGCACUUAGGUUUGGACUACCUACACGACAGGGGUGAUAAUACGGGAUCAUAUCUUCGGACCAAGGAUUUAUUGAAUUUGGUUGUGCCCGAGUUGGAUUAGCUAGUGGGUAGGGUAAAAGAAUACGAAGGCGUGGAUCCAUAACUGGUCUGUGAGGAAGAUUAGCCACUCUUGGACUGAGACACGGCCCAGACUCUUACGGGAUGCAGCAGUGGGUAAUAUUGCAAAAUCGGCGAAAGCCUGAUGCAGCAAUGCCGCGUAAGUGAUGAAGGCCUGAGGGUUGUAAAGCGCUAUUAACCGUGAUCAUCAUGACAGUACCGGGAGAAAAAGCCCCGGCUAACUCCGUG
rnacentral:rRNA from 1 species